UACGUAGGCAGCGAGCGUUGUUCGGAGUUACUGGGCGUAAAGCGUGCGUAGGCGGUAGUCCAAGUCUGGUGUGAAAUCUCCCGGCUUAACUGGGAGGGUGCGCCGGAAACUGGGCUGCUGGAAUGCGGGAGAGGGAAGCGGAAUUCCUGGUGUAGAGGUGAAAUUCGUAGAUAUCAGGAGGAACACCAGUGGCGAAGGCGACUACCUGGCCUGUUCUUGACGCUGAGGCGCGAAAGCUAGGGGAGCAAACGGG
rnacentral:rRNA from 1 species